rnacentral:tRNA from 1 species
GGUGCCAUCGUCUAACUGGUUAGGACGCCAGCCUCUCAAGCUGGAAAUUGCGGGUUCGAUCCCCGCUGGCAUCACCA